GACGAACGCUGGCGGCGUGCUUAACACAUGCAAGUCGAACGGAAAGGCCCUGCUUUUGGGGGGUGCUCGAGUGGCGAACGGGUGAGUAACACGUGAGUAACCUGCCCUUGACUUUGGUAUAACUUCAGGAAACUGGGGCUAAUACCGGAUAGGAGCUCCUGCUGCAGGGUGGGGGUUGGAAAGUUUCGGCGGUUGGGGAUGGACUCGCGGCUUAUCAGCUUGUUGGUGGGGUAGUGGCUUACCAAGGCUUUGACGGGUAGCCUGGCUGAGAGGGUGACCGGCAACAUUUGGACUGAGCUACGGCCCGCAUUGCUCCGGGAGGCCGCAGUGCGGAAUAUUGACCAAUGGGCGGACGCCUGAUGCAGCAAAGCCGCCUGCGGGAUGACGGCCUUCGGGUUGUACACCGCUUUCGCCUGUGACGAAGCGUGAGUGACGGUAAUGGGUAAAGAAGCACCGGCUAACUACGUG
rnacentral:rRNA from 1 species